UUUAUUGGAGAGUUUGAUCCUGGCUCAGGAUGAACGCUGGCGGCGUGCCUAAUACAUGCAAGUCGAGCGACUGGAUUGCGAGCUUGCUCUCCAGAAGUUAGCGGCGGACGGGUGAAUAACCCGUGUGUGCCCUUCCCAUC
rnacentral:rRNA from 1 species